rnacentral:rRNA from 1 species
CAGUCGCCGCGGUAAUACAGAGGGUGCGAGCGUUAAUCGGAUUUACUGGGCGUAAAGCGUGCGUAGGCGGCUUCUUAAGUCGGAUGUGAAAUCCCUGAGCUUAACUUAGGAAUUGCAUUCGAUACUGGGAAGCUAGAGUAUGGGAGAGGAUGGUAGAAUUCCAGGUGUAGCGGUGAAAUGCGUAGAGAUCUGGAGGAAUACCGAUGGCGAAGGCAGCCAUCUGGCCUAAUACUGACGCUGAGGUACGAAAGCAUGGGGAGCAAACAGGAUUAGAUACCCCUGUAGUCCCUGUCUCUUAUAA